rnacentral:lncRNA from 1 species
CGUAAAGCUGAACAAUAGUGUAAGGUAAGUGCUAGGAGCCGAAUUCCCUGAUCCUUGACCUGGUCAAAGAUCUCCCUCGGGAAGUGUCGGGAUGUGGAAUGACUAUAAGCAGUGACCCUCGAAUUUUGCACCCUUCGACUGGAUCAACCGAUUAGGCUGAUGAGGGAUCGGAUCAGCCGAGUUCGAAGACCUUUAUGUAGAUUCGGUUCGGUUGAAAGAGCUGAAUUUACAGAAAGCACAGUAUUUUGGGUCGGCUGAAGAGCCGAAUGCCUUUAUAUAUUGGAAUUAAUAUGUGAAACUAGUAC